rnacentral:tRNA from 1 species
GCCGCCGUAGCUCAGUUGGUAGAGCUCCGGACUUUUAAUCCGAGGUGCGCGAGUUCGAGUCUCGCCGGCGGCA